AACAGCCAGAAAGAGAAAAGUGAAUCUGGAAUACGUUGCUCAGAUCACACUGAAAAAUGAUAAGAUAUCAACACUUUAAGAGGUCACAGGCCACAACCAAAAUGAACAGCACCGUAGCCAAACGCAUUUCAUUGAAAAGAGGAGCAUCCCCUGCACCAAGUCAUGUGUUCAUGAAGAGUGAUCACUCAAUGGAUCCAGCAGGAAACUUCCUGGGUGGGACUACAGCACACAGGUACACUCACAUGUGUCCAUGAAGAGUGAUCACUCAAUGGAUCCAGCAGGAAACUUCCUGGGUGGGACUACAGCACACAGGUACACUCACAUGUGUCCAUGAAGAGUGAUCACUCAAUGGAUCCAGCAGGAAUGUUUUCUUUCUGUUUGUUUCUUUCUACAUAUUGCUAUGGAAUUAGUUUUGUAUUCAAAGUGCACACCUAUGU